rnacentral:pre_miRNA from 1 species
CCGGGGUGAGUAUUACAUCAGGUACUGUUGUGAUUAAAAAAUCCGGACAUCAACCGGCCGACUAUCAGUACUUGUGUUAUACUCUUCCCGU